CACGUAGGGGGCAAGCGUUGUCCGGAUUCAUUGGGCGUAAAGAGCUCGUAGGCGGUUCGAUAAGUCGGAUGUGAAACCUCCAGGCUCAACCUGGAGACGCCACCCGAUACUGUCGUGACUAGAGUCCAGUAGGGGAGCGUGGAAUUCCUGGUGUAGCGGUGAAAUGCGCAGAUAUCAGGAGGAACACCAGCGGCGAAGGCGGCGCUCUGGGCUGGAACUGACGCUGAGGAGCGAAAGCGUGGGGAGCGAACAGG
rnacentral:rRNA from 1 species